rnacentral:snRNA from 1 species
UGCCCUGCCACUUCAACUUUGUUCGCGCAUGUCGUACUUAUCAGCUUAAUAUCUGAUACGGGUCCUAUUUGGACCCAAGAUAUUAAACUCAUUUUUGGAAUUGGGCGGAGUGCUUGAAGCUUGCUUCACCUCCGCCCAUAGGUCGGCAGUGUAGGGGAACACUCACUCACACUCACUCACCCAAAUUUUU